CGCACCCUAUAUGACCUGUUUGUUUUAACCCUUACCAAUUAAAAUAUGCAAAUAAGAAAAGAACAUUUUAUUCCCACCCCUAAGACUGAUACUAACCUUCUUAAAUGCAUGCUUAGAACCUUAUUACCUAAGAUUUAUUUUUCAACUGCUUAUGAUUAUCUUGCCUUUCUAGGUUUUAUUGCAAAAUAAGUUACAAUUCAAUGAUGUGAAUGAAUAAAAGGAGAUGUAAGGUAUAUGUCCUUGAGACAGCAACCUGAUAACACAAAUAAUUGAAAGAAUAUAUAGGUCAACAAAUGGUCUUUAACAAAAGACAGUUGUCUAUACGAUAUGCCAAGCUAUAAAUUAUCCCAAGGUCAGAAAAGAUAGAAAUAAAUUGAAGAGACUCUGUUUAAAAAAACUGCCAUCUACACAAAAUUUUCUAAAAGACAAUAAACAUUAAGAUUUGAUUUGUAAACAAACACUGACAAGGUUCAUAAUUUGGGCAAGUUGUUUACAACAAACACUGACAAGGUUCAUAAUUUGGGCAAGUUGUUUACAACAAACACUGACAAGGUUCAUAAUUUGGGCAUGUUGUUUACAACAAACACUGACAAGGUUCAUAAUUUGGGCAAGUUGUUUACAACAAACACUGACAAGGUUCAUAAUUUGGGCAAGUUGUUUACAACAAACACUGACAAGGUUCAUAAUUUGGGCAAGUUGUUUACAACAAACACUGACAAGGUUCAUAAUUUGGGCAAGUUGUUUACAACAAACACUGACAAGGUUCAUAAUUUGGGCAAGUUGUUUACAACAAACACUAACAAGGUUCAUAAUUUGGGCAAGUUGUUUACAACAAACACUGACAAGGGAUUUAGGCAAGUUGUUUACAACAAACACUGACAAGGUUCAUAAUUUGGGCAAGUUGUUUACAACAAACACUGACAAGGUUCAUAAUUUGGGCAAGUUGUUUACAACAAACACUGACAAGGUUCAUAAUUUGGGCAAGUUGUUUACAACAAACACUGACAAGGUUCAUGAUUUGGGCAAGUUCUUUACAACAAACACUGACAGGGUUCACAAUUUUGGCAAGUUUCUUACAACAAACACUGAAAAGGUUCACAAUUUUGGCAAGUUUCUUACCAAUAAACUGAGGGGGAAAAAAAUAAC